UAGGGAAUCUUCCGCAAUGGACGAAAGUCUGACGGAGCAACGCCGCGUGAACGAUGAAGGCUUUCGGGUCGUAAAGUUCUGUUGUCAGGGAAGAACAAGUACCGGAGUAACUGCCGGUACCUUGACGGUACCUGGCCAGAAAGCCACGGCUAACUACGUGCCAGCAGCCGCGGUAAUACGUAGGUGGCAAGCGUUGUCCGGAAUUAUUGGGCGUAAAGCGCGCGCAGGCGGUUCCUUAAGUCUGAUGUGAAAGCCCCCGGCUCAACCGGGGAGGGUCAUUGGAAACUGGGGAACUUGAGUGCAGAAGAGGAGAGCGGAAUUCCACGUGUAGCGGUGAAAUGCGUAGAGAUGUGGAGGAACACCAGUGGCGAAGGCGGCUCUCUGG
rnacentral:rRNA from 1 species